rnacentral:rRNA from 1 species
GACGAACGCUGGCGGCGUGCUUAACACAUGCAAGUCGAACGGAAAGGCCCUGCUUUUGUGGGGUGCUCGAGUGGCGAACGGGUGAGUAACACGUGAGUAACCUGCCCUUGACUUUGGGAUAACUUCAGGAAACUGGGGCUAAUACCGGAUAGGAGCUCCUGCUGCAUGGUGGGGGUUGGAAAGUUUCGGCGGUUGGGGAUGGACUCGCGGCUUAUCAGCUUGUUGGUGGGGUAGUGGCUUACCAAGGCUUUGACGGGUAGCCGGCCUGAGAGGGUGACCGGCCAGAUGGGGAGGGAGAGACGGCCGAAACUCAUACGGAGGGCAGGGGGGGGGAAAAUGGCACAAGGGGGGGAGGCAGGAGGGAGAAAGCCCGGGGGGGGGAGGAGGGCCUGCGGGUGGGAAACCGAUUUGGCUGGGGAGGAAGGGGAAGGGAGGGAAAUGGGAAAGAAAACACCGCUAAAUUAGUG